rnacentral:rRNA from 1 species
UACAGAGGGGGCAAGCGUUGUUCGGAACUACUGGGCGUAAAGGGCGCGUAGGCGGCCUGGUAAGUCGAGCGUGAAAUCCCCGGGCUCAACCCGGGAACUGCGUCCGAUACUGGCAGGCUUGAAUCCGGGAGAGGGAUGCGGAAUUCCAGGUGUAGCGGUGAAAUGCGUAGAUAUCGUGAGGAACACCAGAGGCGAAGGCGGCUACCUGGACAAUUGCUGACGCUCAGGCACGAAAGCGUGGGGAGCAAAAGGG